CGCCCCCUGGUUAGGAUGCGGGAGAACCACACCCAAAUAAAUCCGCGGGGAGCGUGAUGUGGACAUAGUAGUCAUUUAAACUAGCUUCUGAUUUAUGCGAGACCGAGUCCAAAUAUUUCUAUUUUAGAUAUUUUGAUGAAAUUUAUUGCAAGUAUAUCAAUAAUUUUUAGGUAAAAAAAUAAAAUGAUUCAUCACCUCAAUUUUCUAGGAGGUCGUUUUGAAAUUUAUCAUUGUUUAUUAUAGGACCUACGGGAACUUGUUAAAUAAGUGCAUAAUUUUCACAUUAUCCCCAAAUUUGUUUUUUUUAGUUCUAUCCAAGGAAAUUUUUUUUCAAUCUUUGAAAACUAUUGAAAAACAUAACCAAAUUAAAUUUCAACAAAAAUUUACCUCUUGGUUUGGUUUAGAGAUAAUAAUUAUAAAAAUAAUUACCCCCCCCCCCCCACACACACACACACACACAUUAAAAAAUGGUAUAUUUCGAUAUUUUGGCUUUUAAAAAUGAAUUUUUAACAGAAUAAUCAUUUUAAAAUGCUCUUUCGGUAAUGUUUUUUAACCCAUCGUCAGCCUUGGAUAAAUGUGCGAAUCAUACUUCUUUCGUCUGCCUAAGUGCAUAGUUAAUUAUCUCAACUGAUAAAGUUUACAUAUAUCGUAAUUUUGUAUAAAAACACAAUGCAAAAGAAAGUUACAGCUUUGCACCUACGGCUGCAUGAAAAUAAAAAGACGCACAAAGUCAUGCGCUCUCGAAAUUUACUCGGCCUCGUUAAUCGCACAAAACUGUACACUGUGUGUACAAUGGGUUUUUUUUUCAGGGAUAAAAUAUAUUAAUGAAUUCCAACAAUAUAAAUAUAUUAUGUUGAAAAAAUGUAUGUGGUUAUUGUAUAUUAUGUAGCUUUUGAAAACAAUAAAAGAAAGUUGUU
rnacentral:misc_RNA from 1 species